UUUUGUUGUGCGAUUGGUAAGGGACCAAAUUCAGAUGGAGACAAAAAGAGGAACCAAUAGAUUAAAGCUUGCUUCGUUCUCUGCUGGUUCUGUGGUGACGUCGCCAUAUGGACAGGGUCGGCACAUAGGCCUGGGCAAGUUAGGUGACCGCCUCGGGCCCCCAAAUGCCAAAGGGCCCCUUUUUACACUUCUUAUAUUAAUGUAACCGUCCAUUAGUUUUAAGCCUAUUUGACUGAUUAUUCAAAGCCCAAACCCCCCGUACUCGCCCAGUCCAAAAGAGGAAGCGGGAUAAUAGACCUGGUGUGUGAUGUCCGACUUCCAAGGCGCCAUAACUCUUCAACAAUCAAUUUCUAUGGAAAAUCCAAACGUCUUCUCCAUAUUCCAGAUGCAAUGAAGUUUAUGCUUGUGAUGGGCUUUUUCAAUUGCUAUGCUCUUCCACUCUUGGUUGGAUUCCGACAUCUACUGAUCACAUUAUUCAAUUUCUUAGAGGUUACUUACAACAUCACAUGCAGCCAACAAUAGUGUAUUAUCUAAGGUGGCGUUGUUGCAUGAUUGCAAUGAAAAAUGUCAAACUUGUAACCAUAGAUUUCUGACGCUUCUUGUGACAUACGUGACAUCUUUUUUGGAGGUUUCAUCUGCAUAUCGGACAUUUAGGUAUUCCAAGUCGCUUCUUUGAAUUUCCCUCUUUCCUUCUCAUGUCACCUUCUUUCUCUAUGUUUCGUUGUUUGUUCAGGUAAUACGUUCCUCGUUUUUUCUUCUACUGUGAUUUACUUUUCACUCGCCUUUGAUUUCCUCUAUUUUUGUUUUUUUUCUCUACUUCUCUCUUAUGCCUCGUGUCUUUUUCUAGAGAUUGUCCUCUUCUUCUUAGUCAGCUCUGGGACUGCGCUUUUACAUGUAAUACUUUUGUCAUUGAUCACUGCUACUUUCUGUUGUAAGAUUGGCAAGGUUCUUUCUUAUGACUUGCCUCUAUUUGUGCAAUUUGUCUUUGUUUUUGUCCUCUUCUUCUUCUUCAGCUCUGCAUCUAUGCUUUUACAGGUAAUAAUUUUCUCAUGGAUCACUGCCACUUUUUGUUUUAUUAUUAGUAAAUGUGAAGUGGUAGUCUGAUUUUUUUUUUUUUUGGUUUUGUCUCCUAUUCAUCUGUUUUUAUACCGAUCCUUUAAUCACUGGAUUUGGUGUUUUUUUAUCUGCAUGUGUGUUUGCAUUGUUAAAAAGGGAUUGAAAUUUCAAUGGCUUUUAUAUAUUUUCUUCUAAAAAGGUGUCUCUUGUCACUCUCUAUUAGUGAUUAAAUCCAUUGUUAAAAAACGAUUGACCUUUGGCUUCCAUAUAUUUUUUUUGUUCAAAAGAGGUGUCUUCUAUCGCUUAUGUUGGUGAUUAUACUUUGGUAUUAUCAUUGGUUUCCAUGUGUUUGCUUUGAUCAUAUUAUAUGUAUAAUCGUGUUGUCUCUUUCAAUGAUUCCCGUGUAUUUAUCCAAAUUAGGUGUCAUAAGAGUUGCCUUUUUCUUUUAUGCGUUUAAUAUUUUUCAUUUUUCCUUGUCGGUAUGUUAUUUGUAUUCUUAUUCCAUGUUCAUUUGGUUUUUGAAAAGAAAACUAGUGUUUUAAUGAUACUUGUUAAUUUUUUUCUGUAAUAAAGAAUUGACCUUUGAAUGAUUUUUGUUGUUUCUUUUCUGUGAAUGUCGUACGAUCAUGAUUCUAAUGUUAUUC